rnacentral:rRNA from 1 species
AGAGUUUGAUCCUGGCUUAGGACAAACGCUGGCGGCGUGCCUAAUACAUGCAAGUCGAACGAGAAUCAGGAGCUUGCUCCUGAGGAAAGUGGCGGACGGGUGAGUAAUAUGUAGGAAAUCUGCCCUUAGGAGGGGGACAACAGUUGGAAACGACUGCUAAUACCCCAUAUGAGCUUAGUUGAAAUACUAAUCUUGAAAUGAUUUUUCGCCUAAGGAUGAGCCUGCAUCUGAUUAGCUUGUUGGUGGUGUAAUGGACUACCAAGGCGACGAUCAGUAGCUGGUUUGAGAGGAUGAUCAGCCACAAUGGGACUGAGACACGGCCCAUACUCCUACGGGAGGCAGCAGUAGGGUAAUUUUGCGCAAUGGGCGAAAGCCUGACGCAGACCAACGCCGCGUGAGUGAUGAACGCCCCUCGGGGUGUAAAACUCUGUCAGUAGGGACAAAUUCUGAUGGUACCUACAGAGGAAGCAUCGGCUAACUACGUGCCAGCCGCCGC